rnacentral:rRNA from 1 species
GACGAACGCUGGCGGCGUGCUUAACACAUGCAAGUCGAACGGUGAAGGGACUGGUUUUGCUGGUCCUGGAUGAGUGGCGAACGGGUGAGUAACACGUGAGUAACCUGCCCCCUUCUUCUGGAUAACCGCAUGAAAGUGUGGCUAAUACGGGAUAUUCUGGGUCUGUCGCAUGGUGGGCCUGGGAAAGAUUGCGCCUUUUUUGGUGUUUUUUGUGGGGGAUGGGCUCGCGGCCUAUCAGCUUGUUGGUGGGGUGAUGGCCUACCAAGGCGGUGACGGGUAGCCGGCCUGAGAGGGUGGACGGUCACACUGGGACUGAGACACGGCCGAGACUCCUACGGGAGGCAGCAGUGGGGAAUAUUGCACAAGGGGCGCAAGCCUGAUGCAGCGACGCCGCGUGAGGGAUGGAGGCCUUCGGGUUGUGAACCUCUUUCGCCAGUGAAGCAGGCCUGCCUCUUUUUGUGGGUGGGUUGACGGUAGCUGGAUAAGAAGCGCCGGCUAACUACGUG